rnacentral:rRNA from 1 species
CCUACGGGAGGCAGCAGUGGGGAAUAUUGCGCAAUGGGCGAAAGCCUGACGCAGCGACGCCGCGUGAGGGAUGACGGCCUUCGGGUUGUAAACCUCUUUCAGUGGACGAAGCGCAAGUGACGGUACCUACAGAAGAAGCACCGGCCAACUACGUGCCAGCAGCCGCGGUAAU